UUCCCCUAGUAACUGCGAGUGAGCGGGAAAAGCUCAAAUUUAAAAUCUGGCAGUCUUUGAUUGUCCGAGUUGUAAUCUAGAGAAGUGUUAUCCGCGCUGGACCGUGUACAAGUCUCCUGGAAUGGAGCGUCAUAGAGGGUGAGAAUCCCGUCUUUGACACGGACUACCAGGGCUUUUGUGAUGCGCUCUCAAAGAGUCGAGUUGUUUGGGAAUGCAGCUCAAAAUGGGUGGUAAAUUCCAUCUAAAGCUAAAUAUUGGCGAGAGACCGAUAGCGAACAAGUACCGUGAGGGAAAGAUGAAAAGAACUUUGGAAAGAGAGUUAAACAGUACGUGAAAUUGCUGAAAGGGAAACGCUUGAAGUCAGUCGCGUUGGCCAGGGAUCAACCUUGCUCUUUUGCUGGGUGUACUUUCUGGUUGACGGGUCAGCAUCAAUUUUGACCGUUGGAAAAAGGUAGAGGGGAUGUGGCAUCUUCGGAUGUGUUAUAACCCUUUAUUGUAUACAAUGGUUGGGAUUGAGGAACUCAGCACGCCGUUAAGGUCGGGGUAUCAACCCACGUUUCGUGCUUAGGAUGCUGGCAUAAUGGCUUUAAUCGACCCGUCUUGAAACACGGACCAAGGAGUCUAACAUGCCUGCGAGUGUUUGGGUGGAAAACCCGGACGCGCAAUGAAAGUGAAAGUUGAGAUCCCUGUCAUGGGGAGCAUCGACGCCCGGACCAGAAAUUUAUGGACGGCUCCGCGGUAGAGCAUGUAUGUUGGGACCCGAAAGAUGGUGAACUAUGCCUGAAUAGGGUGAAGCCAGAGGAAACUCUGGUGGAGGCUCGUAGCGAUUCUGACGUGCAAAUCGAUCGUCAAAUUUGGGUAUAGGGGCGAAAGACUAAUCGAACCAUCUAGUAGCUGGUUCCUGC
rnacentral:sRNA from 1 species